UUUGGUGGAGGAACCAGACUGGAUGUUGGAAGUGAUGUCCGUCCCACCCUGACGGUGCUGCCCCCCUCCAGUGAGGAGCUGCAGCAGGGGAAGGCCACGCUCAUGUGCCUGGCCAACAAGGGCUUCCCCUCAGACUGGAGUCUGGCCUGGAAGGUGGACGGCAGCAGCAGCAGCAGCAGCAGCAGCUGGGAGGAGAGCAGUAGCCCCGGGGUGCUGGAGAAGGACGGCCGCUACAGCUGGAGCAGCACCCUGAGGCUCCCUGCAGACCAGUGGAGGAAGGUGGGCUCUGUGACCUGUGAGGCCACCCAGGGCUCCCAGGCUCUGGUCUCAGAGACACUGAGGAGAGACCAGUGUUCCCAGUCCUGACCUGACUCACUGGGACUCUGCUACUGGUUUUACUCUGCUCUCUGCUCUCUGAACUCUGUAACUCUCUCUGUGUCUGUGUCUCUUUCUUCCCUUCAGUCACUCUCUAAUCACAUGUUUCAUGGAUAAAGUUUGUUUACUUGAUUUAAUUUUGAUUAUUUCUACACAAUAAAUACCAGUUCAUCAAAUUAGUUGUUUUCAUUCAUGUUAUUGUGAAGGUAACAGAUCAGGAGCGUAGUUGGCUUAGUUGAAUUUCAAAUUACAUUUAUAUAAUCUUUACAUGGAAAUAAAUAUUCUAUUUAAAAAACUAAACAAAUAUAUAUUAUUAUUAUUAUUAUUAUUAUUAUAUGUUGUUACCUCUAACUUAUCCACUUUUCAACUCAUCAACAGUAGACAUAUAUAUUUCAUAUACAUACAUAUGGUGUUUCACCCUCAGUGCCGAGAACGCUGCCCUGCAUAUUUACAUAUUUACAUGGAGAAAACAUUGAGAAGUCUGGUAGUAAACUGAUCCAGUGAUUUGUGACAGUUUGUUUUGUCAAGUUUGAUCUUUUUUUACACCCGAUUCACUGGUUUUACUCUGCUACUGGUUUUACUCUGCUACUGCUCUCAGUCUGUCUGGUUCUCAGUUUCUCUCAUGAGAUGUUUCAAUAUGGACCUCAGGUGGUUAAUGUGCUUGUGUUGAUCGUUGAUUGAUUUUUAUCAUGUAGACUGGAUUAUAACAGAAACUUCCUUUCUCUGACAUAUAAGUUAGCAACAUUGGUGAGUUUCACAGUAACAAGUUUAUUUUUACCAUAUUACGUUUUGAUGGUUUUUGUUCUUUGCUAUUACUAAUGUCAUCCUUGGAUAACAUACACAUACCUGGAAAUGAUUAAAAGUAUAUUUUUUAAAAAGGAAGGUAUUAUCUGCAUAAAGUCAUUCAUGAGUCUGAUUUGAUAUAUUGCACCAAAUAAUAUUUAAAUGAGACAGUAUCACUUCGCCAAAUGAGAACGACUGUUUCUGUCUCUUGGUGUCAGCACAAUUAAUACAUUGUGAUUUUUCACUGCUUGUAGUUUACACCCAUCCCAUUUACCAAAUCAGCUGUAUCCCUGCAAAUUAUAAACAUAUAACUGUUGUUGUUGUUGUUGUCUUAAAUUAAAACAUUUAAUC